UUUGCAGUAACAGGUGUGGACA
rnacentral:piRNA from 1 species